rnacentral:rRNA from 1 species
ACGCUCGACACCUACGGAGGCAGCAGUGGGGAAUAUUGCACAAUGGGGGAAACUCUGAUCCAGUGACGCCGCGUGAAGGAAGAAGGUCUUCGGAUUGUAAACUUAUUUUGUCAGGGAAGAAAAAUGACUGUACCUGAAGAAAAAGCACCGGCUAACUACGUGCCAGAAGCCGCGGUAAUCUGAGCGGGCUGGCAAGGC